UACCAGCACCCCGAGUGGUCGGGACGAUUAUUGGGCCUAAAGCAUCCGUAGCCGGCCUUACAAGUCCUCCGUUAAAUCCAGCUGCUUAACAGAUGGGCUGCGGAGGAUACUAUAAGACUAGGAAGGCAGGAGAGGCAAGCGGUACUCAGUGGGUAGGGGGUAAAAAUCCGUUUGAUCCAUUGAAGACCACCAGUGGCGAAGGCGGCUUGCC
rnacentral:rRNA from 1 species